GGGGACUUGCGAUGGUAGGAUUUCAGAAAAUAGGUGUAUAUUACUGGCCAUAGCUCGAGUUAUCUUGCAGUUUCGUUGAAUUUGGACACGAUUCUAGAUUUUUGCUGUGUUGGUGUAAAGUACUCGGGUGAAUAUGAUGCUUGUGCUGUUACUCUGAGUGCAUAUGCACACUGGGUAGGCUUGAAAAAUAUGCCGGGCAACG